rnacentral:sRNA from 1 species
CCAACAGUUAUGAGCCCAGGUUAGCUACCUAUUACUAUACUUAUAUCUAUCUUGAUAUCUAUCCAUACCGACCUCCUUAUCAGCACAGAUAUCUAUUUGAUUAUACCUAUUACUUAUCUAUCCAAUCUCACCGACCUCCUUAUCGGCGACAAUAUCGGCAUAUCCUAUAUCCUAUCAAUCUAUAUCUGCUUGAUCUAUAAUAUCAACAGAUUCAUCAGUUUCCUAUAUCAACAUUAUUCUAUCAAGAUGGCAACAGAAAUUAGUCCAUCCAAAUCAGCAAUUACCUUGAAUACUUCCAAGAACUGAGACCUUUGAUACUGAUUGAUACUAUCACUUGCCUUACAAUUGAAUGUACUGGAGCUUGUUGAUAAUGAAAAACCCAAUCAAAUUGAGCAUCUAUCAAUGCCUACUUCCUCAGAUGUUCCUAAUGAGCAUACUCUAGAAGCAAAAAUUGCUUGGGAGAUGCAGCAAGUAUGAUAUAACAAUGAGAUGACUCAAUAUCAACAGAAGAUUGAUGAUGUUGGCAAGAUACUCAGUGAGAUCCUUUGAACAGUAUCUGCUAGUGAGAUCCAGAUAGCUUUGAAAGGGAGCUGAUUCUUCAAUGUCAAGAAUCUAUUAAGUGCUCUUAAGAUGCAAUUAUCCUCUAGAACAGCAGAGAACCAAUAUGAGAUUUGAUUGAAAUAUGAUAACCUUUGCAAAUCACCUAAAUGGAAUCUAGAGAAGUGGUUAGAUGAUUGAAUCUUGAUUGAGCAAGAAAUCAAGCAAUCAGAGAUAGAUGGAAGCUUUGAUAUCUGGGAGGACUUCCUUCAAGCCAAUAAAUCAAUCAAUCCCUUAUAUGUCAC